GGUGUGUGUCUGAAUGAAUACCCCAACCAGUGGUUUGAAAGAGGUGUGUGUAUGAAUGAAUACCCCAACCAGUGGUUUGAAAGAGGUGUGUGUAUGAAUGAAUACCCCAACCAGUGGUUUGAAAGAGGUGUGUGUCUGAAUGAAUACCCCAACCAGUGGUUUGAAAGAGGUGUGUGUAUGAAUGAAUAUCCCAACCGGUGGUUUGAAAGAGGUGUGUGUCUGAAUGAAUACCCCAACCAGUGGUUUGAAAGAGGUGUGUGUCUGAAUGAAUACCCCAACCAGUGGUUUGAAAGAGGUGUGUGUAUGAAUAAAUACCCCAACCAGUUCUGUGAGUUUUUAACAUUAUAUAGGGAUUCUGUGUGAUGUGAAGAUAUGAAAGGAGAGAGUACUAUUACCAAAUAUACUGUAUGAAUAUUAUACUGAGGUACUAGAGAUGUGAUAAAGUAACAAUGUAUGUAGAAUAUAAUGUGUUACUAGAUAUGUGAUGAUGGAACAAUGUAUGUAGAGUAUAAUGGGUUACUAGAGAUGUGAUGAUGUAACAAUGUAUGUAGAGUAUAAUGGGUUACUAGAGAUGUGAUGAUGUAACAAUGUAUGUAGAAUAUAAUGGGUUACUAGAGAUGUGAUGAUGGAACAAUGUAUGUAGAGUAUAAUGUGUUACUAGAGAUGUGAUGAUGGAACAAUGUAUGUAGAGUAUA